UACGGGGGGGGGCAAGCGUUGUUCGGAAUUACUGGGCGUAAAGGGCUCGUAGGUGGUCAACUAAGUCGGACGUGAAAUCCCUCGGCUUAACCGGGGAACUGCGUCCGAUACUGGAUGACUUGAGUUCGGGAGAGGGAUGCGGAAUUCCAGGUGUAGCGGUGAAAUGCGUAGAUAUCUGGAGGAACACCGGUGGCGAAGGCGGCAUCCUGGACCGACACUGACACUGAGGAGCGAAAGCCAGGGGAGCAAACGGG
rnacentral:rRNA from 1 species